AACCUAGCACACCUGCGGUGUGUACCUGCGGAAGGAUCAUUACCUAGAGUUGUAGGCUUUGCCUGCUAUCUCUUACCCAUGUCUUUUGAGUACCUUACGUUUCCUCGGUGGGCUCGCCCACCGAUUGGACAAAUUUAAACCCUUUGCAGUUGAAAUCAGCGUCUGAAAAAACUUAAUAGUUACAACUUUUAACAACGGAUCU
rnacentral:misc_RNA from 1 species